rnacentral:rRNA from 1 species
UUAAGCGACUAAGCGUACACGGUGGAUGCCCUGGCAGUCAGAGGCGAUGAAGGACGUGCUAAUCUGCGAUAAGCGUCGGUAAGGUGAUAUGAACCGUUAUAACCGGCGAUUUCCGAAUGGGGAAACCCAGUGUGUUUCGACACACUAUCAUUAACUGAAUCCAUAGGUUAAUGAGGCGAACCGGGGGAACUGAAACAUCUAAGUACCCCGAGGAAAAGAAAUCAACCGAGAUUCCCCCAGUAGCGGCGAGCGAACGGGGAGCAGCCCAGAGCCUGAAUCAGUGUGUGUGUUAGUGGAAGCGUCUGGAAAGGCGCGCGAUACAGGGUGACAGCCCCGUACACAAAAAUGCACAUACUGUGAGCUCGAUGAGUAGGGCGGGACACGUGGUAUCCUGUCUGAAUAUGGGGGACCAUCCUCCAAGGCUAAAUACUCCUGACUGACCGAUAGUGAACCAGUACCGUGAGGGAAAGGCGAAAAGAACCCCGGCGAGGGGAGUGAAAAAGAACCUGAAACCGUGUACGUACAAGCAGUGGGAGCACGCUUAGGCGUGUGACUGCGUACCUUUUGUAUAAUGGGUCAGCGACUUAUAUUCUGUAGCAAGGUUAACCGAAUAGGGGAGCCGAAGGGAAACCGAGUCUUAACUGGGCGUUAAGUUGCAGGGUAUAGACCCGAAACCCGGUGAUCUAGCCAUGGGCAGGUUGAAGGUUGGGUAACACUAACUGGAGGACCGAACCGACUAAUGUUGAAAAAUUAGCGGAUGACUUGUGGCUGGGGGUGAAAGGCCAAUCAAACCGGGAGAUAGCUGGUUCUCCCCGAAAGCUAUUUAGGUAGCGCCUCGUGAAUUCAUCUCCGGGGGUAGAGCACUGUUUCGGCAAGGGGGUCAUCCCGACUUACCAACCCGAUGCAAACUGCGAAUACCGGAGAAUGUUAUCACGGGAGACACACGGCGGGUGCUAACGUCCGUCGUGAAGAGGGAAACAACCCAGACCGCCAGCUAAGGUCCCAAAGUCAUGGUUAAGUGGGAAACGAUGUGGGAAGGCCCAGACAGCCAGGAUGUUGGCUUAGAAGCAGCCAUCAUUUAAAGAAAGCGUAAUAGCUCACUGGUCGAGUCGGCCUGCGCGGAAGAUGUAACGGGGCUAAACCAUGCACCGAAGCUGCGGCAGCGACGCUUAUGCGUUGUUGGGUAGGGGAGCGUUCUGUAAGCCUGCGAAGGUGUGCUGUGAGGCAUGCUGGAGGUAUCAGAAGUGCGAAUGCUGACAUAAGUAACGAUAAAGCGGGUGAAAAGCCCGCUCGCCGGAAGACCAAGGGUUCCUGUCCAACGUUAAUCGGGGCAGGGUGAGUCGACCCCUAAGGCGAGGCCGAAAGGCGUAGUCGAUGGGAAACAGGUUAAUAUUCCUGUACUUGGUGUUACUGCGAAGGGGGGACGGAGAAGGCUAUGUUGGCCGGGCGACGGUUGUCCCGGUUUAAGCGUGUAGGCUGGUUUUCCAGGCAAAUCCGGAAAAUCAAGGCUGAGGCGUGAUGACGAGGCACUACGGUGCUGAAGCAACAAAUGCCCUGCUUCCAGGAAAAGCCUCUAAGCAUCAGGUAACAUCAAAUCGUACCCCAAACCGACACAGGUGGUCAGGUAGAGAAUACCAAGGCGCUUGAGAGAACUCGGGUGAAGGAACUAGGCAAAAUGGUGCCGUAACUUCGGGAGAAGGCACGCUGAUAUGUAGGUGAAGUCCCUCGCGGAUGGAGCUGAAAUCAGUCGAAGAUACCAGCUGGCUGCAACUGUUUAUUAAAAACACAGCACUGUGCAAACACGAAAGUGGACGUAUACGGUGUGACGCCUGCCCGGUGCCGGAAGGUUAAUUGAUGGGGUCAGCGCAAGCGAAGCUCUUGAUCGAAGCCCCGGUAAACGGCGGCCGUAACUAUAACGGUCCUAAGGUAGCGAAAUUCCUUGUCGGGUAAGUUCCGACCUGCACGAAUGGCGUAAUGAUGGCCAGGCUGUCUCCACCCGAGACUCAGUGAAAUUGAACUCGCUGUGAAGAUGCAGUGUACCCGCGGCAAGACGGAAAGACCCCGUGAACCUUUACUAUAGCUUGACACUGAACAUUGAGCCUUGAUGUGUAGGAUAGGUGGGAGGCUUUGAAGUGUGGACGCCAGUCUGCAUGGAGCCGACCUUGAAAUACCACCCUUUAAUGUUUGAUGUUCUAACGUUGACCCGUGAUCCGGGUUGCGGACAGUGUCUGGUGGGUAGUUUGACUGGGGCGGUCUCCUCCUAAAGAGUAACGGAGGAGCACGAAGGUUGGCUAAUCCUGGUCGGACAUCAGGAGGUUAGUGCAAUGGCAUAAGCCAGCUUGACUGCGAGCGUGACGGCGCGAGCAGGUGCGAAAGCAGGUCAUAGUGAUCCGGUGGUUCUGAAUGGAAGGGCCAUCGCUCAACGGAUAAAAGGUACUCCGGGGAUAACAGGCUGAUACCGCCCAAGAGUUCAUAUCGACGGCGGUGUUUGGCACCUCGAUGUCGGCUCAUCACAUCCUGGGGCUGAAGUAGGUCCCAAGGGUAUGGCUGUUCGCCAUUUAAAGUGGUACGCGAGCUGGGUUUAGAACGUCGUGAGACAGUUCGGUCCCUAUCUGCCGUGGGCGCUGGAGAACUGAGGGGGGCUGCUCCUAGUACGAGAGGACCGGAGUGGACGCAUCACUGGUGUUCGGGUUGUCAUGCCAAUGGCACUGCCCGGUAGCUAAAUGCGGAAGAGAUAAGUGCUGAAAGCAUCUAAGCACGAAACUUGCCCCGAGAUGAGUUCUCCCUGACUCCUUGAGAGUCCUGAAGGAACGUUGAAGACGACGACGUUGAUAGGCCGGGUGUGUAAGCGCAGCGAUGCGUUGAGCUAACCGGUACUAAUGAACCGUGAGGCUUAACCUU